CUUUACACUGCACGCAAGUGCGAUAAGGGGACCCCGAGUGCGAGGGCAUACAGUCCUCGCUUUUCACCACCGUAAGGUGGUGGUGGAAUAAGAGCUGGGCAAGACCGGUGCCAGCCGCCGCGGUAAUACCGGCAGCUCGAGUGAUGGCCGAUUUUAUUGGGCCUAAAGCGUCCGUAGCCGGCCACACAAGUCCAUCGGGAAAUCCGCCAGCCUAACUGGCGGGCGUCCGGUGGAACCUGUGUGGCUUGGGACCGGAAGACCCAACGGGUACGUCUUGGGUAGGAGUGAAAUCCUGUAAUCCUGGACGGACCACCGAUAGCGAAAGCACGUUGGGAAGACGGAUCCGACGGUGAGGGACGAAAGCCAGGGUCUCGAACCGGAUUAGAUACCCGGGUAGUCCUGGCCGUAAACGAUGUCUGCUAGGUGUGGCUCCCACUACGAGUGGGUGCUGUGCCGUAGGGAAGCCGCUAAGCAGACCGCCUGGGAAGUACGUCCGCAAGGAUGAAACUUAAAGGAAUUGGCGGGGGAGCAC
rnacentral:rRNA from 1 species